GACAGAGGGUGCAAACGUUGUUCGGAAUUACUGGGCGUAAAGCGUGUGUAGGCGGCUUUGUAAGUCGGAUGUGAAAGCCCCGGGCUCAACCCGGGAAGUGCACUCGAUACUGCGAAGCUUGAGUACUGGAGAGGUUGGUGGAAUUCUCGGUGUAGAGGUGAAAUUCGUAGAUAUCGGGAGGAACACCAGUGGCGAAGGCGGCGAUCUGGGAAGAUACUGACGCUGAGGUGCGAAAGCGUGGGGAGCAAACAGG
rnacentral:rRNA from 1 species